AAAAAUUCACUUAAGUUUUCGCUGAAAGGCAACUUUCACCGCACUCUCUCGCAACCUUUAGAAACCCUAUCUCUCUCAACUCCCCUUUCUCAUCGCUGAAACACUCCAUCGCCCCCACGAUCUUCACGAGGACACCUCCACAAUCUUCGAGAUCUCCUUCAUGAGGUCUCUCUCGAGCCCACAGGUUUCUUCGCCUCCACGAUCUCCUUUGCGAUCUCCAUUGAUGCCGCGAAGCCAUCGACUCGGCGACGCCGUGGAUGCCAUCAUCUCCUUCGCAUCAGUCAUCACCUGCCGCCAUCUUCCUCUCAACGGAUCUCUCUCGUCGUCUAUCUCUCGAUGGUUCUCUCUGGUCGGCGCUCUCUGUCUUGUUAUCUGUUUCUCUAGCUCGUCCCCAAAGCUUCUCAUGUCUACACUCUCAAGGUAACCCUCUCUCUCUGUCACUCUUCUAUGUUCAAAAUUUUGUCCUAAAAUUCGUUUGAUUGGAGAUCAAGAUUUUAUCAAGGUAUCAUCUCCCUCUUUUCCUUUUUGUUUCAAUUUUGUUUAUGCUAUUGUGAUUUGAUUUGCUGUUUUAAUUUCUAUAUUUAUCUGUGGUGUUAGAUUUUUUAGAUUUGAUUUCAGAUUCAAUUGGGUUAGUGAGGUAGCAGUGUCAUUCUUUCAGCCUAAUAUUCUUUUUGCGUAGUUUUUUUUUUUUCCUUAAAUUGUAAGGAUAUGGCUGCUGAGUUCUGUAGGCUAUAGAGGUGAAGCUAGCUGCAGUAAGGGAGGCCUGCAAGACAGGUAAAACUUUAACUUGGUUUCUGAUUAAGUGACUGUGAUAUUGAAUGAGAUAUUGGGUUUGCUCUGUUUGGGGCCUUGCCGAGUUCUAUCACCCUGAGAAGGAGUAUAAUGUUCGUGUUGCUUCAAGGUUGUUUUCAUAUCUUUUACUUCACAAAAGACAAUAAUAUUUAUUCACAUCUCAUACAUUCUUAUCUGAAACUGUGAUAACUUUUUUAAAAUUUUCUGUUGUAGAAACUGUUGCUCUUGCCUAAAACCUUCUUGUAUAUAGAGAAUUGAUUGUGUGGAAAGUUUAAAAUUACAAUUCUAUAUUUGAAUGUAGGAAUGUGGGAAGACACUUGCUGGACAGAACUUCCCUUAUUAAAGCUACAUUGUUUUAGGAAACAAGUCCCCUUCUCCCUCCACGCCCACCCUCUUUUUCUUUAUUUUGAGGACUUUUAGUUUAUACUAUGAAAUGAUGGUUAUUAGUAACAUAAAUUUUUUGUGUUCAGAUUUGUCUUAUGCUCUUCCCCCGGCCCCCAUUUGAUUUCAGGUAUUCAAAGGUCCUGAGCUUCUUGUUGAUUCACAAGAUUAUGAUUAUUCUUUAGACUUGUGGAGUCUUGGUUGCAUGUUUGCUGGAAUGAUGGCGAGAGUCAAAAUUUGAUACCAUGUCAAAGUAUGUGAUGCUCUCUUGUGAUGCUUAGCCUUGUGCUGUACAGAUAUUUUGUAAGGAGCCAUUUUUCUAUGGACAUGAUAACUAUGAUCGGCUAGUCAAAAUAGCAAAGUGCAAGAAGGCAGCGCUAACUCAUACACACAAGAACAAAUUGAUGAAAUUCGGAUCGAAUGGGCAGCAUGUAUGAGCAAUCACAUGUAGCUCUUCUAUUUCUAAUUAUAGUUUAAUGCUAUGGAUAUGUUAUUUUGUAUGGAUAUGGUAGGAAUCAAGAUUGAUAAACUAUGUAAUUACUAUUGAAUCUUUAAGUUUUAUGAAAGAAACAAUUUUUGAGUAUA